rnacentral:ncRNA from 1 species
CGCAGCGUGGGAGAUGGCAUGCCUCCCUAACCGCCUUUACGGCUGAUGAUGCCUACACGCGA